AAGUUGCCAGAUUGGUGUGUUUUCCAGUAAUUGUUCAAAAUCCACAAUCCAAAAUUAUAAACACACACAUCUACUACAGUAUUGUGGCUCAUCAAAUGGCAUGUAAUAAAGGAAAUUAAGUGCUCUCUAAAGAAGGCUACAUUGUAAGGCUACGUGUCUGUCAUUUGCCUUAAAGAAAUAAAAGGGAACAACAGAAAUAUCAAAAUGCCACCUGUCUAAAGCUAUUUUAUUCCACCUGGUACAAACUAAUAUCUAAUUGAAAACUGACCAAUCUGCCAACACCGAUGGAAAAAAAUACUGGUAAAAAUGUAAGGAGUUCAUUUGUUCUCUCUCUCUAUCUCUUUCUUUUUUUAUCAGGUCCUUCAAAUUCUCCCCUCCUUUAUUUUAACCUCCCUCAACACAAACAUACAAACAUACACACACACACACACAAACCAAAGGCACUUUUAAGAGCCACGUCCGUCUUGUUACCCUGCACUUGUCUGUCUGUAGCUCUCUCUCUCUCUCUCUCUCUCUCUCUCUCUGUUUAUAAUUCUAUUUGUUGUCUCUGUCCAUCUUUUUUGUAAGUCUUUCUGUCUGUUUUUGUUUCUGCCCAUCACCAUGAGUGAUUCAGAACUCCAAGAACAGUUAAUGGAGCUGGAUAAACUGGUUGAUGAUCAAGAACUCAAUGAUGAGCUCCAAAGUCUUGAUGACUUGAUUGGUGAGCUGCAGGAAGAGAAGGAAGUGGCACCAGUAAAGACACCUGAACCGAGGGUGCGUUGGAGAAAGAGAGACAUUGAUGGAAACAUUGUCUAUGCAAGGCCAAGAUCAAGCAGGAAUCAGUCAAAUAAGGCUGAUCCCAUUCGGAAAUCUGAUCCUCCCAUCAAUGCACCUGCCACUAACUGUGAGGUGACCUUUGCUCCAGAGGCUGUUGAGUCUUUUCUGCAAGAUCUCCAGCACUCACUGAGCAAUACCUCAGAUGAUGAGGCAUCAUCUCUUGAGACCUCAAGAGGUCCUCUCCUAGCUUCCUCAAACUGGAGCACAAGACAAAGUCUCUUUUCAGAGAGAUGGAGGACAGAGAGACCACGUCUGGUGAACACCGCUGCGGCACAUGAAAAUGUAGCAACACGCAUCUGCCAACAGUGUGGGAGCAAUCCAGCUGCUGUCCGCUGCAGUGACUGUCGACCACAGCCCUUUUUCUGUGCUCAGUGUGAUGUCAGUAUGCACACCAGACAUGUUCUCCAUAACAGAGAUGCCAUGACGGCUGGAUCCUACCAGCCAUUGCCUCCAACAACUUUUGUUGUAGAUAAGGCUCUUUCCCAUUGUGUACGGCUUGUACCUGUGGAGAUCCCUUACAAAAUCUGUGAUUGUUCACGAGAGUCACUAAGGGUCAGUCCAGGGAAGACUGUUGCUGUAAUCACAAUGAAUGGACGAUAUGAUCUAAGCAUGCCUGAGUUGAGUUGUGAGGCAUGCCAAGCCACGUGGGCUGCUGGAGUGGGUGAUCUAAAUCUGAGUGACUACUGGCCUGCAACCCUUCACUUUGCCACUAUUUAUGCCACAGAUGUCUUCUUCUCAUUUGAAGAAAUGAACAUGUCAACACUUUCUCAGCAUUAUUAUUAUUAUUAUUAUUAUUAUUAUUAUUCCUAAUCAGGUGAAAUGGAGUGGGGCAUAUCAGGAUGGGGCUGGUUUAACCCUAGGUGAGGAGGUGGAACAGUGCAAUGCUUUCCUGUCUAGGAUUGCAGUGACUACAAAACACAUGUCCAAAGCAGGUACAAUGACCACAUACUAUACUAGUUACAUUAUUACAUAAUAAGUAGGGGGAAUAUGGUAACAUGAUAUUCUCUGUUUGCAGGACGCACAGACAUGCUGACUCUCAUGGCCAUGCGCUGGAAUCAGCAAAAGAUCUACACUUUGGCCAUCACACUGACCCGCCGAUAUCAGAAGACCACAAAAGCUCUGCAAAACCAGUUGCUAAACCUAGAGUCUUUAAAAGUUGAACUGGCAGUGACAGAGAGCCAGUUGGAAGACUGGCUCAACGAAGUAAAGGAGUGGGCAGAUA